rnacentral:tRNA from 1 species
UUAAUUGAAGCCAAAAAAGAGGCCUUUCAUUGUUAAUGAAAUUAAUGAUUAUUAUAUAAUCCAAUUAAA